UGAUGUAAAAGUGUGCGAUGAGAAUCCUGAGAUAAGAGGACUUGUAGAUCACUGACUGCACAGAGAACAGGGCUUGACCUCUGAUUCACAAGCUGUUGUCAUGGACCAUUUUUCCAAACAUCUCAGCAUCAUCUGGACAGCACAGAAGAUAUCUCACCUCCUUUGCCGCUCAAUAGACCAGGGAGCCACUGGGCCUAUUUGGCUGAGCCCAGCUCUUGGAGAAAGAGGCAACUUCCAUUUUGCUGCUUUUGGGUCUGAUUUUUGAGUCCCAACUGGAAAAUCACAACUGUGGAAUCAUUCAGGUUAGAAAAGUCCUCUAAGAUCCCCAAGUCCAACCCCAGCCCACCCUCACCAUGCCCACAGACCACAUCCCUCAGUGCCUCUCCAUGGUUCUGGAACAUCUCAAGCGACGGUGACCCCACCACCUCCCUGGGCAGCCUGUUCCAAUGCAUCACCACUCUUUCUGAGAAGAAGUGCUUCCAAAUAUCCAGCCUGAACCCCUUCCCUGGCACAACUUAAGGCUGCCAGCUCUUGUCCUGUCACUGUUACCUCAGAGAAGAGUCUGACCCCUGCCUCACUACAACCUCCUCAAUAAGAAGUGCAGUCAAUUAAAGUAGUUCCGUGUCUUCCGUAUCACCAGGCUUGGCGAGAUACUGAAGCUUUACUGGAAACUCCACUGAAGCCAACUUUAAGUUCUCCAUCUCCUGAAUGUACAACUGCAAAUACUGCAGCUGCUGAAGCAGGCAGAACAGAGCUACAGCUCCCUGUCUGUCUCCUGGCUCUGCAUCUCUGCGUGGUAAAAAUAGCCAUAUUUUACAUCCAUGGGAAGCAUUAAGGAUAUUAUCUCUUUGGAGUUCCUUUCAGCCAAGAGUAAGGAGAUAUGAAGAAUUUGGCUGCUGUCCUCUGCUCCUGCACCACCCAGCUACCCGUCAUGGCUAAUAAUGCAACUCAGUGGCUGCUGUAUCUUUCAUGGCCCUUCUGACACUAUGAGAUUAGUGGGAGCACAGCUGCUUCAGUACCAGGGCAUGUAUCUGUCUUUCCCUGGCAGAUCCCUUGGUGGUGUGUGGCUGUCAUGUUAAAGAGGGAAGGUAAAACUUAUUUACAGGCAGUCUGAGCGGCAUGUUAUUCAAGGCCAGGUUGCUGGCCCAUCUGAUAUUAUUUAAGGGGUUAGAUAUUGCCAGUAAAUGAAAAUAAAUGCUAUUAGUGUACCUUCUAGUCAGUGGAAUUAGCUGCUCUUCAGCUGAUGUUUGGUUUUACAGCACAAGAUACGCUGGCUCUCAAGGGUCAUGGCUUUUAAAUGCUGGGAAGGCACUAAUCUUGGGAUCAUGGUGAUGCAAACAGAAAUAGGAGGCUAGCAAAACCAGCAGAGGGCUUCCCUUCUGUUGCUUACCCUCAGUCUCUCUGUUAAAUGGACCUGCAGAAAUCAGGGGCAAAGAGACAGAGUGCAGCACUGUUAACUCUAAGGGUUCCUCUUUUACCACAGUAGAGCCUUGGAAGGGCCCUUCUUUCCUCCUCAUCUCAGCCAGUCUCAGAAGGAUUGUCUUUGCUAAAAAGAAAUUACAUUCUGUUGCCUGUCUGUCUUGAGCCAUUUGCUUUUGGCAUUAACUGUCAAGCCCUGAAUCACUCUCUGGGGAUGCGUGCUGGAAAGCUGGUGGGAACUGAUUGCAUAUCAGCAGCUGAGAUGCAAUACUUGGCUUUGCUCUUCUUGGGAAUCACAGUGUGCAGACCUGGACAGCAUCACGCACAUAGCGUAAGAGACCAAGCACUUCUCGUGGGCUGAGUGCAUCAAAUCCUGAGACAAACGCUUACUGCAAACACUGGGGCAUGAGGGAGGUGGGAGGGAGAGAGAUCAACUCCUAAAGCUUUGGCUUCUUGCUCAGAGCAGGGAAAGGAAUAUAAAAAGAAUGAAUGUAAUUUGUUUUCCUUUGUUGAUCAGAGCUGAAAUUAGCUAUGGGGUAUUGAACAUUGAAGUGGAAGAGGGAGGUGGAAAACUAGAAGAGCAGCUGCUUGAAAAUUGCACCAAAGGCCUCUUCCCAAAGAGAAAUAUGCAGGACUUCUUUGGUUUAAGGUCACUCAUCAGCAAGACCCCCAGCUGGGAUGAAGAAACGAGAGGCCAAGGCUUCUGGCAUCCUGCUGCAAUGUGACGUAAAGAGGAGAUGCCACAAGCAGGAAAUCCUCGUCUCAGAGGAAGGAGCUGGUUUUACUGAGGCAGGUGCCCCUAGGAGCUUGAAGGGCUACUGGAAGCAAGCGAAGGCUACCCUGCCUCAAGGAGAUGAAGGCUCAUGGUGAAAUGUGAUGUUCUAUGGUCUGGAAGCAGUCGGUAAGAGCUUCACCUCCUCUAUCAGCACUUUGGAGACACGGCUGAAGGAUUGGACAAUACCUAUCAGGGAGGUAACAUCUCCAGUGGAAAAGAGGACAGGGCUUUAAAACACCUACAGCUGGCUUCCACACCCCCCUGACCUGCAUUUCAGGUCGGCACCACCAAGAUGCCUGUGUGCCUUGGCUGAUGAGGAUAACUACACGCAAGGCAAGCUAUCUGAACCUGACAGCAAAGACCACGUUUCCCCUUAAUGCACCGUGCUGUGGGAAGUGUUUACUGCUGCUGCUCUUACAGAGCAGAAAACCAGAGCAGCUGGGAUGCAGCAAGCUCACAAUGAGGAAAAGCAGAAAGAAGAAUGACCCCGCGCCACUGUUACAAGCAGCUUCCUGAAAGCAGCUUGCGGCCAGGAAAACUGCUGGAUGAAAUCCCUCAGAGGAGGAGAAAGUCCAGGCUCCCCAGAUUUGUUGUCAUUCCUGGGGGAUGUGACCGAGGACAAGUCUUGGAUCGCCUUGCUAGCACCUCUCUCUUGCAGGAAAUGCCCAACUCCAGAUUUCUCACACAGAUAGGAAACAUUUCACCUCAGAGAGAGCAGUGCUGCAGUGGCACAGCUGCCCAGGGAGUGGUGGGGUCACCGUCCCUGGAGGUGUUCCAUACCCAUGGGGAUGUGGCACUGAGGGACGUGGGCAAUGGGCAUGGUGGGGUGGGCUGGAGUUGGGCUGGGUGAUCUUAGAGGACUUUUCCAACCUGAAUGAUUCCAUGAUACCUCCAAAAAAGCAACCUCCUGUGCUGUCCCAGAGGGCUGGGAGUGCUUGGAAGUCUUGGUGCAAAUGCUUGGUGCUCAAUAGCAGCGCACUUCAUGGUGCUGUUGGUGGCGUGGCCUCAUCUUCCCAGCUCCGUGGGCUGCUAGUGACAUUCCCAGGGCUUUCCAGCUGGGAAAUAGCAGCCAUCUCCGCAGAGAGCCUGAUGUCACAAGAUUCUUCGGCCUGAUUUCCAGAGCAGUGGUCUGGAUGUGCUUCAAACUCCUGACUGCUUUUUCCAACCAGCCUUGUUGCUUGGGAUGUGUUGUUUUUUUUUUUUUUUCUUUUUCUGGGCUCUCCCUUCCCCAGCGCUCACACACUCACAGAGCAAUUGGUGUCCCUCCAUAGGCACGUCUAUGAAAAAUGCAGAGAUUUCCUGAGCAGGGUGCAGUGGAAAUUCCUGGGAUUGCUGGUGCAGACAGACACGUAGUUAGCUGAGUCUGAGAGGGAGCAGCUCAGGAGUUGGGUUUUCUGCACAAGCUCUUCUCAUUCCUUUCUGCUCAUCUUUUCCGGUCUGCAUCUAUGGGAACAACGCUUUUCCCACCUACACCCCUCUCCGAAUGUAGUGUGGUCCUCGGGGUCCAUGUUGCCCUGACCUCUCCUCGUGGUCUGGGCUUUGCACAGGGAUCAGAGGGGCUUAAAACUCAUUGCACCCUGCAGUGUUAGCACCACGACCUUAUUUGCCAAGUCUGGCGAUGGGACAGGGAGCAGAGAUUUCCAACAUCAGCCCCACUCGUGGGAGUGUGUGCCACUGCCAGGGGCUGGCUGUCAAAAAGAUUUGCAAGAGGGGGUGUUCUCAGCCCUGUUUUUACGUGACCACUAGCAGCAGUCCCGCGGUGGAACACAGCUGUAGGACAAUGGAUGGGGCUGACCAGAAACACGGCGCGCUCUUUCGCAAUGAGCUUGGCUCUGGGCUACAUGAAAAAUGUCUUUUUUUCUUUCAUUCUUUCUUUAUUCUUCCCCCCCCCCCAAAAAAAAAAAGAAGAAGAAAAAGAGCUUUUUGCAGAAGGGAGAGGAGUGAAAACCAGGUGCUGUUUUCAAGAUGCUGCUUUCUAACGGUGCCAAAAUGAGCAAGACAGGUCUCAAACUGGGAGCGAUGGGUGGAGGAGCCAAACGGGCCAGGGGUGCUCAGCCUGGAAAGGAGAAGGCUCUGGAUGACAAAGUUACAAGUGAUAGGAAAGUGAUUAGAAGAGACAGCAUUGGGCAGAUUGGAAGCAAUGUACCGAGAGUGGGAGGUAGCCCCAUGUUGGGCUCUUCAUCCUGGGGUCACCUCAGUGCCCAUCCCCAGUCUGUAGCCAGCACCAUGCCUGGCAUCCUUGCUCAUCUAUGUUAUACUGCUCUGGAGGAAACUGAAACUCCUCAGAAAUGUGGUGAGGGGUUUUUCAUGGUAAAACCUUUGGGUUUUUUGAUGCUUUCAGGCUCAUACAGACUCAUACAUCCUGUUCUACAUCUGAAGUCAGGUAUAGAUGCAAGGGAGGGGUGUUUCUAAGGGAGCGUCUUUGAAGCUGCUCCUCUGCCUUUCUCCCAUGUCUUUUUUUGCCCCUUCCAGCCUGGGAGAGAAAUAGCAUGAGAAAGAAUUGCGGUAGAAAUACCUAUUUUAGAGCACUGAUCAUCACUUACUUAGAAAUUGCCCCUACUACAAAACCUGCCAGAUUUCCAAGGAAAAAAUUUGCAAGUAAUGAGCAAGCAUAUUUAACGUUCCUUUCCAAAUGGCCCUUGUUUUAACUUUUGCUUGCUCCACUGUAGGCAAUAAUACUUUCAUCCCAGAUUUGCACACACUGCAGUUAAACCCCCCAUAAGCAUGGGGACGCUCCAAGGGCUGGGAGAAGCAGUGAGCUUGCGGGGCUGCAAUGGGAUGCUGAAGAGUGGCAGCAGUCCACUUAUUUGAAAGUCAGGCUGUUCCAUGCCCUCUGCAAAGUUCCAGUCAAUUGAAUGCAGUGCUAAUUUUUUUCAUUAACCUCCAACACAACCUCCCCAUCUGCAGAAUUAUUCACUGCUGUAAAACUAGACACAUAUCUCAGAAAUAACAAACUGCUGCCUUCUUCCCUAGCAACUUCUUUGAGGCCUUUCAGGUUUGUAUGCCCACUCCAGCUCACUGUCCGUGCUCAAACUGGAAGAUACCAUGCAUAGAUGGUAUGAUGUAUAUUGCUUA
ensembl:lncRNA